rnacentral:lncRNA from 1 species
GCAGCGCUGCUGGAGCUCAGUGCUGAAGGUCUGAUUAAUGUGGGCUGAUUUCUUCCAGGAAACACUCGUAAGGAGACGAUCAUCGCGAUGCAGAAGAUGGGUUAUCAGUCGGACCAUAUUAAAGUGUGGAAACGAGCCCAAGAGAAGGGAGUGGAGGAAGAGUCCGAAGAGGAUGAUGAGGAAGAGGAAGAAGGAGGUUCAGGACCGGACUACAACUACCUGCUGAACAUGCCCGUGUGGUUCCUCACCUCAGAGAAGAAGGAGGAGCUCUGGAGGCAGAGGGAUGAGAAGGUAUCAGCAGGGCGAGAGUGAUGGAGUCGUUUCAGCAGAUCUUUCAUUUCUACAACUUUUACUCUGCUUGUUCUGCUGUAGAUCACAGAGCUGAAGGUGCUGCAGAGGAAGGAGGCUUCAGAUCUGUGGAGGGAGGAUCUCGCUGCCUUCACAGAGGAGCUGGAGGUAAAGCUGCACCUGCAGGAGGUUCUUCAGUUAGUCUGAGAACGUCUCUCUGAUCUUCUCCUCUACUGGAGGUUUCUACAACUUUAGAACUGGCCUGAUCUGCUGAUCUCUGAUCUGUAGCGAGUGGAGCAGGAGCAGGAGGAGUCCCAGCUCACACUGACCCAGGUUCAGGGGAAAGAGGGCGGAGCCGAGGAGGUAAAGAGGAAGAACCGGACCUGGCCUACGCCUCAGGAAUGUGUCACCGGGGUGCGUUUAAUACAGAUUUAUAAGAGUUUAAUGAUUUAUCUUAUCAAUAAACACAUUAUUAGAUUAAAUAUUGAAUAGGGU